rnacentral:rRNA from 1 species
AACGAACGCUGGCGGCAGGCUUAACACAUGCAAGUCGCACGGGUGCAGCAAUGCAUCAGUGGCAGACGGGUGAGUAACACGUGGGAACCCUCCGAGGGGUACGGAACAACUCAGGGAAACUUGAGCUAAUACCGUAUACGUCCGUGAGGAGAAAGAUUAAUCGCCCUUAGACGGGCCCGCGUCGGAUUAGCCAGUUGGCGGGGUAACGGCCUACCAAGGCGACGAUCCGUAGCUGAUCUUAGAGGAUGAUCAGCCACACUGGGACUGAGACACGGCCCAGACUCCUACGGGAGGCAGCAGUGGGGAAUCUUGGACAAUGGGCGCAAGCCUGAUCCAGCCAUGCCGCGUGAGUGAAGAAGGUCUUCGGAUUGUAAAGCUCUUUUGCCAGGGACGAUAAUGACGGUACCUGGAGAAUAAGCCCCGGCAAACUUCGUGCCAGCCGCCGCAGUAA